rnacentral:tRNA from 1 species
GCCUCCGUGGUCCAGUGGUUGAGCGUUAGUCUCGCGAUCCAGAGGUCCCGGGUUCGAAUCCCGGUGGGGACA